GACUGCCUCAUGGCCUGUAAGGGUUUAUUCCCUUGAGUCUGUAUUAUUCCUGAAGCCUGUUCUUGUGUGUGUGUGUGCGCGCGCGUGCAUGCACACAUAAUGUGUAGAAAAAAUCUUAGUUUUUGAAAAGGCUCGUAUGAAGUUGCAUAGCAAGUGUCAAAUAUGGAGCAUUCCUAUCUAUUGAAUAUGUUAGUUCUAAUCUUCAGCAGUGAGACUUUUUCCUUUCCUUUUCCUAGGCAGUAUAAUUUGAUUUAUCCCCCUUGAAAUUGUCACUCAGAUCCAAACCCCUCUGUUAUAUCUCUAGAACUCUGGUUUAAUUUUGUCCUAGAUUAUUACAGAAUCUUCAUGGUUGGCUUAUUCUCAAAUUUUUUUUAUUAUAAAAUAUACAAAAUCAGAGUUCCCAUUGUGGCGCAGUGGAAAUGAAUCAAACUAGGAACCCUGACGUUGUAGGUUCGAUCCUGGCCUUGCUCAGUGGGUUAAGGAUCCGGUGUUGCUGUAGCUGUGGUGUAGGCUGGCAGCUGUAGCUCCAAUUAGACCCCUAGCCUUGAAACUUUCAUGUGCCGCACGUGUGGCCCUAAAAAGACAAAAGACAAGAAAAACCACAAGACCUAAAAUGUACUGUCUUAACCAUUUUAAAGUUACAUUUCAGUGGUGUUAAAUACGUAUAUGCUGUUGUGCAACUGUCACCACCAUCCAUCUUUAUAACUUUUUAUUUUGUAAAAUUGAAACUCUCUACCUAUUGAACCAGUAUGUCCUCUCCUAAGCCUCUGUCAACACCAUUUUACUUUCUUUCUCAUGACACCCUAAGUAGCUCAUGUAAGUGGAAUCAUGCAACAUUUGUCUACUUAUUUAUUUACUUAUUUAUUUUUUAGGGCUGCACCCGAGGCAUGUGGAGGUUUCCAGGCUAGGGUUCAAAUCAGAGCUACAGCUGCCGGCCUACACCACAGCCACAGCAACGUGGGAUCUGUGUCUUUGGCUUGCUUAUACCACAGCUCAUGGCAACGCCACAGCCGGAUCCUUAACCCACUGAGCUAGGUAGAGAUUGAACCCUCAUCUUCAUGGAUACUAGUCAGAUUCAUUUCCGCUGAACCACGAAGGAAACUCCUUUUUUUUUUUUUUUUUUUUGGCAAUAUUUGUCUCCUUAAAAAAAAUCUGUUUAUUCUUAGGGCUGCAUUCUUAGCAUAUGGAAGCUCCUAGGCUAGUGACUGAAUCCGAGACACAGCUGUGACCUGUGUGCAGCUGUGACAACCCCAAAUGCUUUAACCCACACACCAGGCUAGGGAGUAAUAAACCUGUGCCUUGCAGCGACUGGAGCUGCUGCAGUGGUAUUGUUAACCCACGUGCCAUAGCAGGAACUCCAGUAUUUGUCUCUUUGAGACUGGCUUAUGUCACUCAGCACAGUGUCCUCAAGGCUCAUGCAUGUUAUAGCAUGUGUCUGAAUUGCCUUCCUUUUUUUUUUUUUUUUUUUUUUUUUUUUUUNNNNNNNNNNNNNNNNNNNNNNNNNNNNNNNNNNNNNNNNNNNNNNNNNNNNNNNNNNNNNNNNNNNNNNNNNNNNNNNNCAGCCAUAGCAAUGCAGGAUCCGAGCUGCAUCUAUGACCUACACUACAGCUCAUGGCAACAUUGGAUCCUUAACCCACUGAGCAAGGCCAGGGAUCGAACCCACGUCCUCAUGGAUACUAGUCAGAUUCGUUAACUGCUGAGCUCCCUCACUUUGGACUCUUGCAGCUAGCUACAGUUAACACACAUCAGCUGUUGACUUGAUGCUUGCCUUUUUAAAGCCUUCCUAAGCUUCUAGGAGUUUCCAUCUUGGCUCAGUGGUAAAGAUGAACCCAGCUAGUGUCCAUGAGGACGAUCCCUGGCCUUGAUCAGUGGGUGAAGGAUCUGGUAGUGCCAUGAGCUGUGGUGUAGGUAGCAGUUGCAGCUCAGAUCCCAUGUUGCUUUGGCUGUGGUGUAGGCUGGCAGCUGCAGCUCCGAUUCACCCCAUAGCCUGGGAACUUCCAUAUGCUGUGGGUGUGGCCCUAAAAAGCCAAACAAAGAAAAAAGCCUUCCUAAGCUUCUAGAAUUUCUUCCUGAAAUUCUGGAUCCUUCACUGAUGAAAUGUCUCCUGAAUUCGAGGUUAUUUUUACCCCAGCCUCCAAUUUGCCUAAAUGUGGCAUCGUUUAAGGCCACUGCCACUUUUGUCUCAGAGUUUAUAUACCAGCCUGUUGUAAAACAUAAACUGUAAUUGAUUUAUUUAACGUAAGCAGCUUUGUGGUAGUGUCUAUUCUGUUCUCUUUUCUUUAUUUUGCUUUCUGUUGUUGCUUAUGUAGUCAUCAAGAAAGCAUUUGAAUCCUCCUCAGGUGGGUAGGUGUCUUGUUCUAAUUUUAGUACAUGUGCUGCCCUAGCCAGCCCAUGGGGGUAGUAGCUAUUUCAGUCCAGCUUCCUCAGGGUUGUGUCUCCUGAUGAGGUGUUGAUGAGGAGGAUGCGCAGAGAGACAUCUGAUUCACCCAUGCUUUUUUUUUUUUUAAGCUGAGAGAGAUUUUUUUAAUCCUAUUGCCCUUUAGAAAUUUUGAGAGGGCGCCUUGAUUUGGUAUAAACACCCCACCAGAGUAAAAUGAUCUGAAAAGUUGGGUUUUAAAGUUAGUGGGAGUUCCCACUGUGGCACAGUGGGUUAAGAAUCCAACUGCAGUGGCUCAGGUUGCUGAGAAGGCACUGGUUCACUCCCCAGCCAGGCGUGGUGGGUAAAAGGAUCCGGUGUUGGCUGCAGAGCAGCUCAGAUUCAGUCCCUGGCCUGGGAACUUGUAUGCUUUGGGUACGGCCUUAAAAAAAAAAAAAAA
rnacentral:lncRNA from 1 species